GACGAACGCUGGCGGCGUGCCUAAUACAUGCAAGUAGAACGCUGAAGGAGGAGCUUGCUUCUCUGGAUGAGUUGCGAACGGGUGAGUAACGCGUAGGUAACCUGCCUGGUAGCGGGGGAUAACUAUUGGAAACGAUAGCUAAUACCGCAUAAUAUUGACUAUUGCAUGAUAGUCAGUUGAAAGGUGCAACUGCACCACUACCAGAUGGACCUGCGUUGUAUUAGCUAGUUGGUGGGGUAACGGCUCACCAAGGCGACGAUACAUAGCCGACCUGAGAGGGUGAUCGGCCACACUGGGACUGAGACACGGCCCAGACUCCUACGGGAGGCAGCAGUAGGGGAUCUUCGGCAAUGGACGGAAGUCUGACCGAGCAACGCCGCGUGAGUGAAGAAGGUUUUCGGAUCGUAAAGCUCUGUUGUAAGAGAAGAACGAGUGUGAGAGUGGAAAGCUCACACUGUGACGGUAUCUUACCAGAAAGGGACGGCUAACUACGUG
rnacentral:rRNA from 1 species